rnacentral:rRNA from 1 species
CGGUAAGGCCAGAGGCGCAAACGUUAAUCGUCUUAAUCAGGCGUAAAGGGUGUGUAGGCGGCUUUAAGUUUUCAUUUUUUUCAAUAGCCAUUUUUAAUUUAUUAAAUUAAAAAUUCAAAAGAAUGAAACAAUUAAAGCUAGAAUCAAAUAGAGGAUAUAUUAAAUAACACUUAGAGUAGGUCUGAUAUCCAUAAAUACUAAGGAGAAUAUUAAGGGCGAAAGCUUUUUUUCCACUAAUGAUUGACGCUGAGAAACGAAGGUGAGGAUAGGAAAUAGGAUUAGAUACCCAAAAUACCCCUCUCUGUCAACGAUGAAUGGUGGUCACUAGUUGAGAUUAGUGGCGAUGUUAACACGUUAACCAUUCCGCCUUGUGAGUACGACUGCAAAGUUGAAAACAAAAAAAUUAGUCGGUUUCGAAGCAAACGGAUUGAAGCAUGUUAUUUAAUUCGAUAAUCCGCA